UUUUCUUUUGGCCCAACAGAUUCUGAUGGUACUAUCUGCCUGGUGGAGCCCCUUCACACCACAACAGACCUUGUAACUGAUGAAGAGGAUGAAACUGUGUCUGCUGCCUUUACAGAGGGGGAUCCAGAAAGGCAUACAGAGAGCAUGGCUGGACAGCAGCAGGAUGGUCCCUCAACUUCCACUGCACAGAUUGACACAGUGAGAUGGAUGUUCAGUAAACACCAGAGGUUCAGUCCGUGGAAUUCAUGUGCAACUGUAUAAUUUAAUGUCCUUUAUGUAUUCCCAGUUACCAGUAAAACAAAUAUACAAAAUCCACUUGCUGAGAAAAAUACAAAAAACAGAUAAAGAAAUGUAGUACUUGGACCACCAGAUUAAGAAGGCAGAUCUGGAAAUUGAAAUACUGGAGCACAAGUUAGAGGUGGGUGCAGGUCACAGGUGAAUUAUGUUAACUACUGGAACAUGAACUAAACUAGCUCUUUUAUUUGUAGGAAAUAAAGAAGACCAAAUGAAACGUAUGUCAUGUGUUUAUUUCACUGCUGGGGUGGUGAUGAUGGUGACUUAAACUCCAAAGUGGUUAUUGCAUAUGGUGUCUCUGACUGCUCUGCUGUCCUGGAAAGCUGGCAGGUGGAUGAGGUCAUCAUCUGGGUCUUCAGUUUGUAGGGCAGAGUGUUGCUCUCCUCUAA